rnacentral:lncRNA from 1 species
UUCCCUCAAUACAACCCCCUCAUUUUUUUCUCUCUCUCUCCAAAAUAUAGAGAAUUCUCAUCAAUUGAACCCAGAGCACACACACAUAUAAAAAUAUAUGCUCCCUUUAUCGAAUUGCUGAAAGGUAAAAUGCUGUUCGGAUCUUAUUUUUUCUUUUCUUUAUUUUAUUUAUUUAUUUAUUUUUAUUUAUUUUUUUUUUUUUGGGUGGGGGGGGGGAUUCUGUUACUUCUUUAUUGAGUUUUGAAUUUGACUUUCGUUUAACAGUUUUUGGGUUUUUUCAGUUUUGUAAGUGUAGAUGAGAACUCACUGACGUUUAGCUAUGUGUUUGAUUGAGUUUAAAUGUCGAUUUUGUGAUCUUUGAAUUUGAUGGAUUUUAAACAUAAAGUUCCUUGCACUGAUAUGAUUUCAGCCUUACGGACUUCAAUAUGAUUUACUUGAUUUUUAAUGUCAAUUUUAAAUAAAUUUGACUUAAAAAUUGGGUUUGGGUUUCACUUAAAUUGAUUUGCAUAGAUUUGUUGAAAAUAAAGAAUGAUUUAUUAAGUGGUAAUGUUUUAGAGGGUUAAUAUUUUUUUUAAUAAAAUUUUCAUUUUCUAGCAAAUUUUUUUUUCGGAAAUUGAGAAUUACUGCUUAUUGAAAUAAAAUGUAAUAAAUAUAUUUUGGGUUGAAUUCCUAAAGUUUCUCGAUAAACACACUCAUAACCCUUCGAGGGGAACAAUGAAAAAAUAGUUUUGCUUUCAAAAUGAUAAAGUUAUGUGAUUUGUUUGUAUCGCUUAAAUGUGCAAUGAUCCCUAAUCAAAGUCCAUUUGUUUUCCUUGAAAGAGUUCCAAUUUAUUUAAUUUUUCCCCACGUAAAUAUAAAGUUAAAUGAUUUGUUUGUGUUGCUAAAAUGUGCAAUGAACCCUAAUCAAAGUCCGUUAAUUUUUCUUGAAAGAGUUCCAUUUUAUUUAAUUUUUCCCAUGUCAAACACAUUUCUUUAUCUUAAUAUUCCAUCACCAAGGACAAUGAUGCAAUUUAUAUGGUUUUGCGUUUAUAAUUUUGAGGGACGGGGUGGUGAUAGGGGCAACAAUGUACAUGCCUAGGAUUUUCAAAUAAUCAAAAUUGAAGUAAAAAAAUAAAUAAAUAAUAAAAAAAUACAGCUUUAAGGAAAUCCUCUCUCCUAACUUGGGGGAAUGGAGUGGGGAUGGAAGGCAUUAUUUGCAUCCAAAACGUUACAGUAGUUUGUUAUCAUUUUGGGAUAAAUGUGUAUGUAUAAGUGAAAAUAAUUUAGUUACUAAUUCUACUUUUGACGAAGAAUUGAAGAAAUGUUGUUUUUCUUGUGAGGAUCUCCUACAGAGCAAAGGAAUUGGAAUGAAGAUAGCUCAACAUUUUGUUUCGAUAAAACUGAUCAAGUGCUUCAUCUGUAGAGUGCAAUGGAAAAUGGAACUGCACAUAGUCAGAUUGUUGGAGGAGUUCCAUUUGUUGGUAUGGGUGGUAUAGGAAAUUUAACUACCUUUUAUUAUUUGAAAGGUACGGAUCAUAUGAAUUUAAAUAUUUUCAGCAUGCAAACUAUAGAAUUUUUAUUUUUAAAACUUAGAACUAUUUGUUUUCUUUGGCAUCAUAGUUAAAGGUGCAAGAGUUGUUGUCUGUCAUCAUAUCAGAAGAAUAUCACGAAGGUUCCGUAGAAUUAAGGAACUAGAUGUGCAGCAGUUAAGCACCAAUAUAUUUAGGAGGCAUAGCACUAGAAAAUGGCUGCAACAAUAUUUUGGUAGUAUCUCCACCGGAGGUUGGACACAUGUAGGCAUACGAACCAACGCUUGAUACAUUUAUCUUUCAGAUGACAGAAUUCUAUUGAAGAUUUGGAAGGAUGGUCUUUCCCACCAAUAAAGGGAGUUUUGGUAUUUGGCAUCUAACUACGAAGCAUAUCGAGUUCUAUAGGUUAGUGCAAGCAUACCUGCUUUUCCAGGAUCAUGACAGAACUGCGGUGGAAUAAGCAAUAGGAUUCCCAAAGCAAGACAUUUUCUAGCUACUAAAUUUGAAGAUAAUGCAACCUUUAUACACUUUUUUCUAUAGAAAAUGCACAGAAAUUUUAUUUUUUUUAUGCCAAAAUCUUGUAGCAAGUUUGAGUUUGGGAGUACCUCAAUCGCCAAGAGAAAAGUUAUGUAUGCCUGUAUGUAAAUUCCAAUUUUUUUUGUAUAUAUGUUUCUGUGACUCAAUAUUUCUUUUGAUAGAAACAGGAUUAACCUUUUUAUAUUUCUACACUACGAGAUUAGUUGUAUCAUGA